AAGAAAGAAUGCUAAGUCCAAAUUUAAGAAUCUACGUGCAGAACAUUUAUUCAACCAAAGGAAAGCUUUGCAAAGCUACAACCCAUUUUUUAAGUCCAACAAAAAAGACCCUUCAGCAGCCCAAAUAUCUAUUUGUUCUCAAAAAACAGCACUAGGGUUUCGUUUGCCAUCCGAAUGGCGCCCUUGCACCAUUGUCUUCUUCUACACAAAAUUCAUCCCUCUUUAGCCAUAGUCAGAAAAUGCAUGAUUUGUUUUUCCAUCAGAAAGGUAUAGAAGUACGUUGCUUUUUCUCUUGAUUUUUGACUUUUUCCAUUUUCCAACUCUGCUCCCUUCCUCUUCCUGAGAAAUCUGGUCGAGUCCGUCCAAGAACACAACGUUCAGAUUUGAACGAUUUCGUUUGACUCUGUUUGAGCCCUUAAUUCAAAAUCCCGCCCAAAAAUCUAAAACCCUAUUUCGUCCUAUAUAUAUACUAGCAUUUGGAGUUCAUAAGGGAUUUUUUUGGGAGAGCUGCCCCCUCUUUACCUUAGUUUAGUUUUGGGUCUGUCCGUUUCCAUCUCAUUCAAAGAGGAGUAGAUCCAUGACCUAAAGCCUUAGUUCGCUGCACCCGAAAAAGGUCCGUGCUAUUCCUUUCUUUACUUUCUUUUCGUUUCUGCUUAGAUCCUUAAUACGUGCAUAAAGUGUUUUUCAUUUCAUGUUGUUUCUCAUACGCCGGAUGUAAUAAAAUAGGAGGUUCAUUUUGUCUUCUGAUGGUGGUUGGUGCUUUUUUUUCUUAGGAUUAAUAGUCUUACCUUAUACUUCCUUUUUACUUGAAAACAUGGCUUUAAGAUUUCAUUUAUUCUUCACUGUUAUAUAAAAACAUAAGAAAUUUCUUUUCUUUCCAGUUAAAAAUGCUCUUCUGUAUGUGUUUGGUUGUUGUCCAUAUUAGGAUAUACGUUAGUACCUUUUCGUCGCUUAUUUAAAGAAUACUUGUUGCUUCUGGAAAAUCUGUUUGUAUAUAGUGAGUCAUGCUUAUGCCCUUGUAUUUUUUUUUUAAAUUUGUGUGAGAAAAAUUACAUUCCAGUUCCGUUUAUUAAAAUAUAAAAUCGCUGAGCUUGUUUGGUGUUCUUUAGCAGUGUGUUAUUUGAAUUAAAAGAGACAUCCCUCUUACAUGAAAAAUAUUCAAAAUGUGCCUUCAAGUUCAUAACUAAUAGAUUUGUUAGCUAAUAAUGGUUUACUAACUAUUGUAAGUUUCCUUAAUCAGGUGACAACUAAGUUCUCAAUUUGUUGAGUUUUAGAAGAACUCUGCUAAGUUAGAUCAGUUUCUUCGAGUCGAAUAGUAUUUCUUUUUCUAGUCCCCUUCCCCGAUUUGUCUGAGAAAAUAAAAUGACGAUUAACUUGGUUGUUUAAAGUUUUCAUUCUUUAUUUGAGGUGUUGAUUUCUUCUAGAUUUCCGGGCUGAUAGAGUGGUGAGAUUUAGCACUUUAGAACCAGAAUGCUUCGCACUCCUGUUUAACUUGAAACUUGGAUUUACCUUCUCCAUAUUACAAAGCCAUAAGCAUGCUUCCUUUAUUUGGUUCUGCCUAGUUCUGGUGUUGAUCUCAACUGACCCUAGAAAUUUGUAAGUUCAUCAAUACGAUAAAGUUUGUGUCUAUAAAAAUCAGUAAGGUUCAGCUCUGAGUUAAUCACUAUAUUGUUUUUUUUUGCCUAGUUUAAUCAAUGCGUUAUUCCCUUGCUAUAUAUCUGGCUCCUUUGAAAACCAAAUGGUAGUAGCUAAUAUGAUUUAAUUCCCUUCUCAGUACUCUUCUUUACUUGAGAUAUGUGCAACCCAAAGUGCCAGCUUUACUUGAGAAGAUAUGGACUGGUUAAGUUAAGACAUAAUCAUCACUUUUCUUAUUUAUAUCGUGAUCUAAGCAUGCCCUUAGAGAUGUUGAGGUGACUGGAUAUGAGGUCAUGGUUUUACGGAUCAUAUAUUUAUAAAAUCGUGUGCUUUUCCUAAAACUCAUGUUUUAAAAGAUCACGACUUAUGUUAUUUGCUUGUGAAUUACAACCAUGCCUAUAGGAAAUUGCUACUUACUCAAUAAAUAUUCUGUGUGCGACUUAGUUGUUGUCCGUAUUAGAAUGUGGAUGUUAGAGAAGGAUUUUUGAACUGUAAUCAUUUUUGUUCUCUCUCUUGUCUAAGUGUUAAAAUGUAAAGGGAAGGAGUUUAUUUUCUGAAUAAUAAUGUUUGCUUGAGUAUUUAUAUUUUGUAGAAUAUGAACCGAAUAAUAUUUUUCCAGUAGGUAUGAAGUGCAAAAUAUUUGUCUAAAGUUUGGUUCAACAUGUUGUAGUUAAGUGAUUUUUACUGCAUUUUAUUCACUUUUGUUGUUCAUUACAAAAUCAUAUGCCUCUUCUCUAAUUUUCUCUUUUUCCUAUCUCUUCUUUUGCAUGACAUUCGGGGUUGCGAGGAGUCUCAAAUGAGGCUCGAUUUCGCCGCUAGAUCAAAACAACUUCACUGCUUCACUUUGUGUCUUUAGUUCCCUCUAAACUCGUCCGAACACAAACAAUGAGGGUUGAGAUGAAAUCCUGAAGUUACAUCGGCUUUCUAUUCGGGUCUCUCUUUCUCCCCUGGAAAACAAUCUGAGCAGAAGCAAGCGGAAGAGGGAGCGGACGAGAAUGGUUGUUGCAUUUUUAAGCAUAUCACAUGCUUGCUUAGUUAUUUUGUGUUCUUAUGUGUGAUUAUUUGACUACUUUAGAACACCUAAUUUAGUGGGGCUAAUUGGGAUGUUAUUUCAGCAGAGUAACGAAAAAUGUUUUUUUUUUUUUUAAAACUCGAUUUUAGUUCAUUUUAUGACGCUAAGAGAGCUUAUAAUUGGAUAAGCUUACAGUUAACAUAGGUUGUUUAUUCAUCUAGACUAGACCUAUCCCACUCUAGUUAAUAGUGAAGUAUGUUUUUUACCCCAUAGAA